rnacentral:rRNA from 1 species
UACGUAGGGGGCAAGCGUUAUCCGGAUUUACUGGGUGUAAAGGGGGCGCAGACGGCCAUGGCAAGCCCGGUGUGAAAGGCAGGGGCAUAACCCCUGGACUGCACUGGGAACUGUCAGGCUGGAGUGCCGGAGGGGUAAGCGGAAUUCCUGGUGUAGCGGUGAAAUGCGUAGAUAUUAGGAGGAACACCAGUGGCGAAGGCGGCUUACUGGACUGUAACUGACGUUGAGGCUCGAAAGCGUGGGGAGCAAACAGG